GACGAACGCUGGCGGCGUGCUUAACACAUGCAAGUCGAACGGAAAGGCCCUGCUUUUGUGGGGUGCUCGAGUGGCGAGCGGGUGAGUAACACGUGAGUAACCUGCCCUUGACUUUGGGAUAACUUCAGGAAACUGGGGCUAAUACCGGAUAGGAGCUCCUGCUGCAUGGUGGGGGUUGGAAAGUUUCGGCGGUUGGGGAUGGACUCGCGGCUUAUCAGCUUGUUGGUGGGGUAGUGGCUUACCAAGGCUUUGACGGGUAGCCGGCCUGAGAGGGUGACCGGCCACAUUGGGACUGAGAUACGGCCCAGACUCCUACGGGAGGCAGCAGUGGGGAAUAUUGCACAAUGGGCGGAAGCCUGAUGCAGCAACGCCGCGUGCGGGAUGACGGCCUUCGGGUUGUAAACCGCUUUCGCCUGUGACGAAGCGUGAGUGACGGUAAUGGGGAAAGAAGCACCGGCUAACUACGU
rnacentral:rRNA from 1 species